rnacentral:rRNA from 1 species
UCAGGACGAACGCUGGCGGCGUGCUUAACACAUGCAAGUCGAACGCUGAAGCACCAGCUUGCUGGUGUGGAUGAGUGGCGAACGGGUGAGUAAUACGUGAGUAACCUGCCCUUGACUCUGGGAUAAGCCCGGGAAACUGGGUCUAAUACUGGAUGCUACAUGUCACCGCAUGGUGGUGUGUGGAAAGGGUUUACUGGUCUUGGAUGGGCUCACGGCCUAUCAGCUUGUUGGUGAGGUAAUGGCUCACCAAGGCGACGACGGGUAGCCGGCCUGAGAGGGUGACCGGCCACACUGGGACUGAGACACGGCCCAGACUCCUACGGGAGGCAGCAGUGGGGAAUAUUGCACAAUGGGCGAAAGCCUGAUGCAGCGACGCCGCGUGAGGGAUGACGGCCUUCGGGUUGUAAACCUCUUCAGCAGGGAAGAAGCCACAAGUGACGGUACCUGCAGAAGAAGCGCCGGCUAACUACGUGCCAGCAGCCGCGGUAAUACGUAGGGCGCAAGCGUUGUCCGGAAUUAUUGGGCGUAAAGAGCUCGUAGGCGGUUUGUCGCGUCUGCUGUGAAAGCCCGGGGCUUAACCCCGGGUGUGCAGUGGGUACGGGCAGACUAGAGUGCAGUAGGGGAGACUGGAAUUCCUGGUGUAGCGGUGGAAUGCGCAGAUAUCAGGAGGAACACCGAUGGCGAAGGCAGGUCUCUGGGCUGUUACUGACGCUGAGGAGCGAAAGCAUGGGGAGCGAACAGGAUUAGAUACCCUGGUAGUCCAUGCCGUAAACGUUGGGCACUAGGUGUGGGGGACAUUCCACGUUUUCCGCGCCGUAGCUAACGCAUUAAGUGCCCCGCCUGGGGAGUACGGCCGCAAGGCUAAAACUCAAAGGAAUUGACGGGGGCCCGCACAAGCGGCGGAGCAUGCGGAUUAAUUCGAUGCAACGCGAAGAACCUUACCAAGGCUUGACAUAUACCGGAGCGUUCCAGAGAUGGUUCUUCCCCUUUGGGGUCGGUAUACAGGUGGUGCAUGGUUGUCGUCAGCUCGUGUCGUGAGAUGUUGGGUUAAGUCCCGCAACGAGCGCAACCCUCGUUCCAUGUUGCCAGCACGUGAUGGUGGGGACUCAUGGGAGACUGCCGGGGUCAACUCGGAGGAAGGUGGGGAUGACGUCAAAUCAUCAUGCCCCUUAUGUCUUGGGCUUCACGCAUGCUAC